GCCAAAAGUUAGCGUGAGAGGGCUUUACACGCUACACACUCAUUUGGCGGAACACCUGAAAGUUGUAAAAUUGACCCGUUUUUACGAACCCGCAUUAUCUGUCAAAUAACGGGUCAAUUUGUCGGGUCAAUAUUACACAUUAUUUUGAAAAGCCCGGGUACGCAUCAAGACGGGUAGUUUUAUGUGUUGUCAAAUUUUGAACCGCUUUGUUGCAAGUCCGCUGGACUGUUUGGAGGAGGAUUUUAACUUUGCGUGGGCACAUGAGGAGGAUUCCGAACCAGAAAUGCUUCGUGAUAAAACUACGCUGGUAAAUGGUUGCCCUGUGACCACAAGCUGCGGAAAUCAUUAUGCUCCGAAAAGGCUGAAAUCGAGCGGUAGAAUGUUAAAAAUGAUUUGUGAAGAAAAAAAAAAGUGAAAUGAUUAAAGCGAAGA